CAGCAGAAGAGGUGGCUUCCACCUCCGACUGGCAUGGUAAAGUUGAAUGUAGAUGGAGCAGUGGCCAGGUCUCGGCGCAGAGGAGCUGCUGCAGCAAUUUGCCGAGAUCAGGACGGCCAUUAUCUGGGUUCAUCGGCGGUUGUUUAUCAUGGAGUUACCGAUCCGAUGAUGCUUGAGACUUAUGCUUGCAGAGAAGCGUUGGCUUUGGCGGAAGAUCUUGCGACAAUGAACAUAUGUGUGGCAUCGGAUUGCCAAGAAGAAAUAAUGCUUCGAUGUAAUAGUUUUAAUUCUUGCUCUUUUGUUCAUGAGCGUAGGAACCAUAAUUAUGAGGCUCAUAAUCUCGCCAAGUUUGCAUGUACUCUAGGACUAGGUAGACAUGUGUGGUUGGGCAACCCUCAUGACCCAAACCUUGUACCUAUGUCGCUUGUUUUUGAAUGA
rnacentral:rRNA from 1 species